AGUCGAGCGGCAGCACAAGUAAGUUUACUUAUGAGGUGGCGAGCGGCCGUUGGGUGAGUAAUGCCUAGGGAUUUGCCCAGUCGAGGGGGAUUUCAGUUGGAAACGACUGCUAAUACCGCAUACGCCCUACGGGGGAAAGAGGGGGACUUUCGGGCCUCUCGCGAUUGGAUAAACCUAGGUGGGAUUAGCUAGUUGGUGAGGGGGGGGGUCACCAAGGCGACGAUCCCUAGCUGUUCUGAGAGGAUGAUCAGCCACACUGGGACUGAGACACGGCCCAGACUCCUACGGGAGGCAGCAGUGGGGAAUAUUGCACAAUGGGGGAAACCCUGAUGCAGCCAUGCCGCGUGUGUGAAGAAGGCCUUCGGGUUGUAAAGCACUUUCAGUAGGGAGGAAAGGUUGUAAGUUAAUACCUUGCAGCUGUGACGUUACCUACAGAAGAAGGACCGGCUAACUCCGUGCCAGCAGCCGCGGUAAUACGGAGGGUCCAAGCGUUAAUCGGAAUUACUGGGCGUAAAGCGUGCGCAGGCGGUUUGUUAAGCGAGAUGUGAAAGCCCCGGGCUCAACCUGGGAAUUGCAUUUCGAACUGGCAAACUAGAGUCUUGUAGAGGGGGGUAGAAUUCCAGGUGUAGCGGUGAAAUGCGUAGAGAUCUGGA
rnacentral:rRNA from 1 species